GUCGGAAAUCAGAAAUGGUUAUUUUUGAGGUGAUAAUCUUUAACGACAGUUCCGGAACAUGCCAACGUAACAUGGGUAUAUUUGGAUAUCAGAGGAUAUGGUUUUGCAGAGUAUUUUAUAAUUGGCAGCUCUUCUCCUGAAUAUCAUAGAUAAAUAUUAUGAAAAGAAAUUAAAUACAGAUUUCAUACUUCGCUUCAAAGUAA